UCCUUUCUGUACGCUAGAAAGAACGACUCAAAUAUACCUGCACCAUGUUUUGAGGCAGCUCCUGCGUCGAAACUUGGGACAACAGGCGUUGAAGAUUGCCAACAUGUGUUGUGACUUGCCAUACUUUCCUCACGUUCUUGAACUCAUGUUACAUGAAGUGUUGGAAGAGGAAGCCACAGCAUCUGAACCCAUUCCAGGUGAUAAGGACGAGUUAGUUUAGGCGGGGAGGGGUGGUGGCCAACUGUUAAUUUGCUGGACUCCAGUUCGAGUUGGGCUCGGUUUGGGGAGACACUUAACUUUCCAAGUGUCUUUCUCCACCCAGGUUUAUAAAUGGGUACCGGCGAAUUUAAUGCCGGGGGUAACCCUGCGAUGGACUAGCAUCCCAUCUAGGGGGGAGUAGAAAUACUACUAGUUGCUUCGAUGCUAUAUAAAAACGGGAGAUAAGCCCAGCCCUAAUUGGCCACUAGGUUGGAACCCGGAGAUAACCUAAUUCGUGAUUUUAACGAGAAAUGCCAUGAUAUACUUAUUAAAGUAGAGAAACAAAAAAUAGGGACUAUAGAGAAUAAGGAUAGUUUAAGGUGCUGUCCUCUUUCUGAUGUAAAACUUGCAAAAUACUUUCGAAUUGAUGGAAAUUUCAAAAUGGUUGUUUCCAGAGAUGGAAAAACACCAGAGAAGUGUUAAUAGAUCGAAGAUAAAUAAGGAUGGUUACGACUCGGGAAGAUUGAAACGGAUUAUACGAACAACAAAGUUGAAAAAAGUUGGGUAAUGUUUUCAGGAGGUACCACUCCUACAUAGUUCCCGUAAGGUUGAGGAAGAUUGAGUUAGACUGGGGACGAAGAACUUAGUAAAAAAAAUACAAAAUUAAGGCUAACUAUGAGUGCUACAUCUUUAUAAUUGAAAGUAAAAUUAAACCGUCAUUCGUUGUGUUAUUGUCUACAUAACAUUAUUUGUUACUUUAUUUAACUGUAAGGGGAAUCUACAUU